rnacentral:rRNA from 1 species
GGUGAACGCGGCGGCGUGCUUAGGACAUGCAAGUCGAACGGCAGUCUUCGGACUGUAGUGGCGCACGGGUGAGUAACGCGUAACUGACCUACCCCAAAGUCGCGGAUAACGAUUCGAAAGAAUCGCUAAUACGUGAUGUGCUGUCAGAUUGUGUUCUGCCAGUAAAGAUUGAUUGCUUUGGGAUGGGGUUGCGUUCCAUCAGCUAGUUGGUGGGGUAAAGGCCCACCAAGGCGACGACGGAUAGCCGGCCUGAGAGGGUGGCCGGCCACAGGGGCACUGAGACACGGGUCCCACUCCUACGGGAGGCAGCAGUUAGGAAUCUUCCACAAUGGGCGAAAGCCUGAUGGAGCGACGCCGCGUGAGGGAUGAAGGUCUUCGGAUCGUAAACCUCUGAAUCAGGGACGAAAGACACUUCGGUGGGAUGACGGUACCUGAGUAAUAGCACCGGCUAACUCCGUGCCAGCAGCCGCAGUAACAC